GCUCGUAGUUGGAUCUCAGCUCACGCUAAGUGGUCCACCUAAUGGUGGUUACUACUUAGCUGAGCAUUUUACAGAUUUGUCUCUUGAUGCUCUUCACCGAGUGUCAAGAGUGGUCUGUACGUUUACUUUGAAAAAAUUAGAGUGCUUAAAGCAGGCAACUCGCCCGAAUAAUCUUGCAUGGAAUAAUGGAAUAGGACCUUGGUUCUAUUUUGUUGGUCUCCGGAAUCUGAGGUAAUGAUUAAGAGGGACAGACGGGGGCAUUCGUAUUGCGCCGCUAGAGGUGAAAUUCUUGGACCGGCGCAAGACGAACUACAGCGAAAGCAUUUGCCAAGAAUGUUUUCAUUAAUCAAGAACGAAAGUUAGAGGUUCGAAGGCGAUCAGAUACCGCCCUAGUUCUAACCAUAAACGAUGCC
rnacentral:rRNA from 1 species